GACGAACGCUGGCGGCGUGCUUAACACAUGCAAGUCGAACGAAGUGGCGAACGGGUGAGUAACGCGUAAACAACCUGCCCUUCAGAGGGGGACAACAGUUGGAAACGACUGCUAAUACCGCAUACAGAAGGAGGGGAUUGCGGCCGUUUAGCUAGUUGGAGGGGUAACGGCCCACCAAUGCGAUGAUCAGUAGCCGGUCUUAGAGGGUGAACCGCCACAGUGGGACUGAGACACGGCCCAGACUCCUACGGGAGGCAGCAGUGGGGAAUCUUCCGCAAUGGACGAAAGUCUGACGGAGAAACGCCGCGUGAGUGAUGACGGCCUUCGGGUUGUAAAGCUCUGUUAAUCGGGACGCGGUACCGGAAUAGAAAGCCACGGCUAACUACGUGCCAGCCGCCGCGGUAAUUC
rnacentral:rRNA from 1 species